rnacentral:rRNA from 2 species
UGUGUCUGUUGUUUGAGAACUCAAUAGUGUGCCAAGUUUGUUGAUACCGAUUAUGUAUGUAAUUGGUUGAUUGUGCUGUGCCGCCACCCCGUGGUGUGCAUGGUGUUUUUAGCUGGUUUCAAAUUUUGUGCAGCUGUUUCUGCCGUUAUUUCCGGUGGUUGUGGUUGUGUCUGUUUUUGUUUUACUUCAACGGAGAGUUUGAUCCUGGCUCAGGAUGAACGCUGGCGGCGUGCUUAACACAUGCAAGUCGAACGAUGAUGCCAGCUUGCUGGUGGAUUAGUGGCGAACGGGUGAGUAACACGUGAGUAACCUGCCCUUGACUCUGGGAUAAGCCUGGGAAACUGGGUCUAAUACCGGAUAUGACCUUCCAUCGCAUGGUGGUUGGUGGAAAGCUUUUGUGGUUUUGGAUGGACUCGCGGCCUAUCAGCUUGUUGGUGGGGUAAUGGCCUACCAAGGCGACGACGGGUAGCCGGCCUGAGAGGGUGACCGGCCACACUGGGACUGAGACACGGCCCAGACUCCUACGGGAGGCAGCAGUGGGGAAUAUUGCACAAUGGGCGAAAGCCUGAUGCAGCGACGCCGCGUGAGGGAUGACGGCCUUCGGGUUGUAAACCUCUUUCAGUAGGGAAGAAGCGUAAGUGACGGUACCUGCAGAAGAAGCGCCGGCUAACUACGUGCCAGCAGCCGCGGUAAUACGUAGGGCGCAAGCGUUAUCCGGAAUUAUUGGGCGUAAAGAGCUCGUAGGCGGUUUGUCGCGUCUGCCGUGAAAGUCCGGGGCUCAACUCCGGAUCUGCGGUGGGUACGGGCAGACUAGAGUGAUGUAGGGGAGACUGGAAUUCCUGGUGUAGCGGUGAAAUGCGCAGAUAUCAGGAGGAACACCGAUGGCGAAGGCAGGUCUCUGGGCAUUAACUGACGCUGAGGAGCGAAAGCAUGGGGAGCGAACAGGAUUAGAUACCCUGGUAGUCCAUGCCGUAAACGUUGGGCACUAGGUGUGGGGGACAUUCCACGUUUUCCGCGCCGUAGCUAACGCAUUAAGUGCCCCGCCUGGGGAGUACGGCCGCAAGGCUAAAACUCAAAGGAAUUGACGGGGGCCCGCACAAGCGGCGGAGCAUGCGGAUUAAUUCGAUGCAACGCGAAGAACCUUACCAAGGCUUGACAUGAACCGGACCGCUGCAGAAAUGUGGUUUCCCCUUUGGGGCUGGUUUACAGGUGGUGCAUGGUUGUCGUCAGCUCGUGUCGUGAGAUGUUGGGUUAAGUCCCGCAACGAGCGCAACCCUCGUUCUAUGUUGCCAGCACGUGAUGGUGGGGACUCAUAGGAGACUGCCGGGGUCAACUCGGAGGAAGGUGGGGACGACGUCAAAUCAUCAUGCCCCUUAUGUCUUGGGCUUCACGCAUGCUACAAUGGCCGGUACAAAGGGUUGCGAUACUGUGAGGUGGAGCUAAUCCCAAAAAGCCGGUCUCAGUUCGGAUUGGGGUCUGCAACUCGACCCCAUGAAGUCGGAGUCGCUAGUAAUCGCAGAUCAGCAACGCUGCGGUGAAUACGUUCCCGGGCCUUGUACACACCGCCCGUCAAGUCACGAAAGUUGGUAACACCCGAAGCCGGUGGCCUAACCCCUUGUGGGAGGGAGCUGUCGAAGGUGGGACUGGCGAUUGGGACUAAGUCGUAACAAGGUAGCCGUACCGGAAGGUGCGGCUGGAUCACCUCCUUUCU